rnacentral:rRNA from 1 species
GACGAACGCUGGCGGCGUGCUUAACACAUGCAAGUCGAACGGAAAGGCCUCUUUCGGGGGGUACUCGAGUGGCGAACGGGUGAGUAACACGUGAGUAACCUGCCCUUGACUUUGGGAUAACUUCAGGAAACUGGGGCUAAUACCGGAUAGGAGCUCCUGCUGCAUGGUGGGGGUUGGAAAGUUUCGGCGGUUGGGGAUGGACUCGCGGCUUAUCAGCUUGUUGGUGGGGUAGUGGCUUACCAAGGCUUUGACGGGUAGCCGGCCUGAGAGGGUGACCGGCCACAUUGGGACUGAGAUACGGCCCAGACUCCUACGGGAGGCAGCAGUGGGGAAUAUUGCACAAUGGGUGGAAGCCUGAUGCAGCAACGCCGUGUGCGGGAUGACGGCCUUCGGGUUGUAAACCGCUUUCGCUCAUGACGAAGCUUUGUGUGACGGUAGUGGGGAAAGAAGCACCGGCAAACUACGU